CGCGAUCCUACCAUCCUGGAGGGCUUUCCCCUAUACUGGACGGAUAAGCCCAUAACCAUGAAGGCCUUGGCUUUGGAUGAGCUUACCCCCUCCGACCGGGAUGUGUGCAAAGCCUUGGCGGGACUGGGGAUAGUCUUCGAUACCGCCAAACUCAUCGCGAACGAAUUCAACGCCCAUGGGCUUUCUACCUACUUCGGUAUCUGCCCUUGAUUGUCUAUGACACAUUAGUUGUUGUGGCUAUCUGCGUGUGUUUGGCCAUAGA
rnacentral:lncRNA from 1 species